AUUCUCUAAAGGUCUUCAACUUGUUUGAGAACAAGUUUGGAAUAUACUAUCUUCAAAUCCAAAAAUCUGCCAACAAAUUUCUUGGAUCCUGCAUCUUCAAUUUUAUACUUUUUCUCAAGAUAUUCCAAAACUUCUCCAGCCGUCUUGAAUGCUACAUAAAUAUCAUAUAGUGUGUCGUCGAGGCCAUUCAAGAUAUAGUUCCUACACAGGAAAUCAGAUUGUG
rnacentral:lncRNA from 1 species